rnacentral:piRNA from 1 species
UCCACUUAGACAUCUGUUAUCUCAGCCUGGC